rnacentral:rRNA from 1 species
CACGUAGGGGCCAAGCGUUGUCCGGAUUCAUUGGGCGUAAAGAGCUCGUAGGCGGUUCAGUUAGUCGGGUGUGAAAUCCCCGGGCUCAACCCGGAGGGGCCACCCGAUACUGCUGUGACUCGAGUCCGGUAGGGGAGUGGGGAAUUCCUGGUGUAGCGGUGAAAUGCGCAGAUAUCAGGAGGAAUACCGGUGGCGAAGGCGCCACUCUGGGCCGAAACUGACGCUGAGGAGCGAAAGCGUGGGUAGCAAACAGG